rnacentral:rRNA from 1 species
UACUCGAGUGGCGAACGGGUGAGUAACACGUGGGUGAUCUGCCCUGCACUCUGGGAUAAGCCUGGGAAACUGGGUCUAAUACCGGAUAGGACCAUGCUUUAGUGUGUGUGGUGGAAAGUUUUUUCGGUGUAGGAUGAGCCCGCGGCCUAUCAGCUUGUUGGUGGGGUAAUGGCCUACCAAGGCGGCGACGGGUAGCCGGACUGAGAGGUUGGUCGGCCACAUUUGGGACUGAGAUACGGCCCAG